GAUUAGAGUUUGAUCCUGGCUCAGCCUUUGACUUAAAAAAUGGAGAAGUCGUAACAAGGUAGCCGUAAGUCGUAACAAGGUAACCGUAGAGUUUGAUCCUGGCUCAGCCUUUGACUUAAAAAAAUGGGGAAGUCGUAACAAGGUAACCGUAAGUCGUAACAAGGUAACCGUAGAGUUUGAUCAUGGCUCAGCCUUUGACUUAAAAAAAUGGAGAAGUCGUAACAAGGUAGCCGUAAGUCGUAACAAGGUAGCCGUAAGUCGUAUCAAGGUAACCGUAGAGUUUGAUCAUGGCUCAGUGACUGGGGUGAAGUCGUAACAAGGUAGCCGUAAGUCGUAACAGGGUAACCAUAGAGUUUGAUCAUGGCUCAGAAGUCGUAACACGGUAGCCGA
rnacentral:rRNA from 1 species